UAGUAUUCUGGUUGAAUUAAACUACUUUCUG
rnacentral:tRNA from 1 species